rnacentral:rRNA from 1 species
UACGGAGGGUGCGAGCGUUGUCCGGAAUCACUGGGCGUAAAGCGCACGUAGGCGGUUCGUUAUGUCGGAUGUGAAAGCCCUUGGCUUAACCGAGGAAGUGCAUCCGAAACUGGCGAGCUAGAGUACGAAAGAGGAUCGCGGAAUUCCCGGUGUAGAGGUGAAAUUCGUAGAUAUCGGGAGGAACACCGGUGGCGAAGGCGGCGAUCUGGGUCGAUACUGACGCUGAGGUGCGAAAGCGUGGGGAGCAAACAGG